GACGAACGCUGGCGGCGUGCUUAACACAUGCAAGUCGAACGGAAAGGCCCUGCUUUUGUGGGGUGCUCGAGUGGCGAACGGGUGAGUAACACGUGAGUAACCUGCCCUUGACUUUGGGAUAACUUCAGGAAACUGGGGCUAAUACCGGAUAGGAGCUCCUGCUGCAUGGUGGGGGUUGGAAAGUUUCGGCGGUUGGGGAUGGACUCGCGGCUUAUCAGCUUGUUGGUGGGGUAGUGGCUUACCAAGGCUUUGACGGGUAGCCGGCCUGAGAGGGUGACCGGCCACAUUGGGACUGAGAUACGGACCAGACUCCUACGGGAGGCAGCAGUGGGGAAUAUUGCACAAUGGGCGGAAGCCUGAUGCAGCAACGCCGCGUGCGGGAUGACGGCCUUCGGGUUGUAAACCGCUUUCGCCUGUGACGAAGCGUGAGUGACGGUAAUGGGUAAAGAGGCACCGGCUAACUACGUG
rnacentral:rRNA from 1 species